rnacentral:rRNA from 1 species
CCAAUAGCGUAUAUUAAAGUUGUUGCAGUUAAAAAGCUCGUAGUUGAAUUUCGGGAUCAAUAUAUCGGUCGUGCCAUCGGUACGUACUGGUAUCAUUGGUUUCUCCUUUCUGACGAACCAUGAUGUCAUUAAUUUGGUGUCAUGGGAAGUUAGGACUGUUACUUUGAAAAAAUUAGAGUGUUUAAAGCAGGCUUUAGCUUGAAUACAUUAGCAUGGAAUA